GGGCUCACACAAGCGGUGGAGCAUGUGGCUUAAUUCGAGGCUACGCGAAGAACCUUAUCCUGGAUUUGACAUGUGCGAAAGCGCUGGGAGGUAGGACCCGGAAACGGGAACGAACGGUAUCCAAUCCGGAACCCAGUACAGGUGCUGCAUGGCUGUCGUCAGCUCGUGUCGUGAGAUGUCGGGUUAAGUCCCAUAACGAGCGAAACCCCUGCCCUUAGUUGCUAGGCGUAAGCCGAGGACUCUAGGGGGACUGCCGGUGUCAAACCGGAGGAAGGUGGGGAUGACGUCAAGUCCUCAUGGCCUUUAUAUCCAGGGCUGCACACGUGCUACAAUGGCGUGAACAAAGGGACGCAAACGCGCGAGCGGGAGCAAAUCCCAAAAAACACGCCCCAGUUCAGAUCGCAGGCUGCAACUCGCCUGCGUGAAGUUGGAAUCGCUAGUAAUCGCGGGUCAGCAACACCGCGGUGAAUGUGUUCCUGAGCCUU
rnacentral:rRNA from 1 species